ensembl:miRNA MIR4300 microRNA 4300
UGAGUUUAGAAGAGGGCCAGCUAAAUCAGCAGAGACAUGAGGUGAUCAAAAACCUUUUUUCAAAGCAGUGGGAGCUGGACUACUUCUGAACCAAUA